AUGGGAGAAUCAUCACCUCUGCCAACAAAGAAGCCUGGUGGAUAUUUGUUUACAGUCUGAUGAUGGGACAUCAUGCUCUGCAUCUUCAAAUCUUUUUGCAGGAUCAGAAAACAAAACCAGGAUGACCAUAAAUGUUUCUUCUCCAGUUGGAUGAUGAUAAGACCGUGACACGGGAUGCCACCUUUAGUCUUGUGAUGAAGCAAAGCUCAGGACGAAGUGUGAUUAAAUGGUACCCACAUGUGUGCUGCUGAGAAGGAUGUACAGGGGCACCUGCAGCCAAAUCCAAGCCUCCUCAGAGCAGAGCGGCAGUUUGUGCCCACAGAUGGUGACGGUGUGGAGAGACGGUGGUGUUUCCUCAGAACAACAAGCAGAGUCACCAAGGGCACGAGUCCAUCUCACCACCUUGACUUGCUGACU